AGUCCGUGCCUUUCAGGCAUCCUCUCCUUAAACCUCACAGCCGGUUUAACGACCGGCUAUUUUUUGCUCAGGC
rnacentral:sRNA from 1 species